CCCCUCUGUUGCCCCAGCGCCCCUUGGAAGCCAAUUUGUGAGGGAGUCUUCUUCCUUCGCGCCUUCCUCUUCCUUCUUCUUGUUUCCGCUCCAGGGCAGCCUGACAGAGCCGCUCCAAGGUUCUGCUGGCCGUGGCUAGUCGGGUGCAGCAGAAGUCCCAGGUAGCUGAGAAGUUCAUGGAAUCUUCUUAUUUGGCUAACUUGCUGGAAGGCUUCAGAAGACCUGUGAGUAAGAGCCAAGAUUUCCCAGACCAGACUACAGCCAAGAUCAGCACAGCUGUCUACCCAACCUCCACCUCACCACAGAGAAUGGAAGAAUCACUCAGCCAUCCUAUAGACUAGCCUGGCCCAGGGAGGGGGCUGUGCCUGACAAGAGGCAUGUCCAACUGCCCACAUGGGGUGAUAUGGAGACACCUGGCUGAUGCAGUGCCUGGAAUUGCACAAUUCAGGAUCCAUCCGUGAUUCUGUGCAGAUCAGAAUCUGACCGAACGGCUGCUAGCCUGCCUGGUACUGCAGUUGUUGAAGGAAGAUGACGUUGCUGUCAGCACCAUGCAUAAUGGAGUCUUCAAGGCCUCCCAUAAUCCUCUGCUUCAAAGCUGCUGAGAGCCCUGGAGUAAGGUGCAGGAAACCAGCUCUGCCUCUGAGUCCCUGUGUGGACUUCAAUAACAUCCCUUCCCUUCUCUGGACUCAAGUUCCUCAUCAAUAGAACAGGAAGGGAGGACCAGAAGAUGCCUAAGAUCCAGCAGAACCUUUGGAGAGGCUCCAUGACUCCAAGGUGGGUCUGUUGUUUGCCAGGGCUCCCUGCAGACUCUGGGAUCCCCAAGUCUAUCAGGGCUGCUCAGGCAAAGCCUCCAACUGGGAGGUUUCACUGGCCUCUCUGAAGGAAAUGGACAUUGGAGAACCUGGGCCACACCAGGGCCACAGCAGAGCCAUGGACAAGGAGGUAUUGGCUCAGACACUGGUAAGGAGGUGACUCACUCAUAUCCUGCUCUGCUUCCCACACCACCAACAGCCUGGGGGAUGUGCCUGGCUGUGGCAGCACCCAUUCAAACAUAAGGCUUCUACUCUCUUGCCUCCCCACUGAAGAACAUUCCCCAGUGAGCCACAUCCAAGUCAGUGCCUUCAGUGCUGAGGGUUGUGGAAGAGAAGUCAGAUAUAUCACUUGUGAUCCAAGAAAGAAAUUGGGAGAAGCUUGGAACUGGUAGGCCUGACCUGGAACCAUCACCUCCCCAUCUCGCAUGCCAUCUGGCCAGUUCCUGCUCAUAUUUCCAAUCUCAAUGUAAAUGUCAGCUCCACCAGGAAGUUUUCUUAAAAUGCCCAGACUAAAUUAGGUUCUCUUAUGAUAUCCUCCUUCUGCUCCCUAGUUUCUCUUCCCUUGCCCUUGUCUUGAGUGAAGGUAGGAUGACACAUGUCAGGGUAUUCCUUUCAUCUCCUCUUCCAACUGUAAACUCAGCGGGAGCAGAAGCCACAUCUGAUCUCUUCUCCUCUGAGUCCCCAGUGCCUAGCAUACGGAAAAGACUGGAAGCACAAAUACUUGAAUGGCAUGGGACAUUGGAGAUAAAAAAGAAAAGAAUAAAUAAUGCAGAAA
ensembl:lncRNA